ACACAUGCAAGUCGAGGGAGAAGCCUUCGGGCUGAAACCGGCGCACGGGUGCGUAACGCGUAUACAAUCUGCCUUUCACAUAGGGAUAGCCCGAAGAAAUUUGGAUUAAUACCUAAUGGUAUAUAGGAGCGGCAUCGUUUUUAUAUUAAAGCUACGGUGGUGAAAGAUGAGUAUGCGUUCUAUUAGCUAGUUGGAGAGGUAACGGCUCCCCAAGGCGACGAUAGAUAGGGGUUCUGAGAGGGAUGUCCCCCACACUGGUACUGAGAUACGGACCAGACUCCUACGGGAGGCAGCAGUGAGGAAUAUUGGACAAUGGUCGGAAGACUGAUCCAGCCAUGCCGCGUGCAGGAUGAAGGUCCUAUGGAUUGUAAACUGCUUUUGUAAGGGAAGAAUAAGGGGUACGUGUACUUUGAUGACGGUACCUUACGAAUAAGCAUCGGCUAACUCCGUGCCAGCAGCCGCGGUAAUACGGAGGAUGCGAGCGUUAUCCGGAAUCAUUGGGUUUAAAGGGUCCGUAGGCGGGCUAAUAAGUCAGAGGUGAAAGCGUUCAGCUCAACUGAGCAACUGCCUUUGAAACUGUUAGUCUUGAAUGAUUGUGAAGUAGUUGGAAUGUGUAGUGUAGCGGUGAAAUGCUUAGAUAUUACACAGAACACCGAUAGCGAAGGCAUAUUACUAACAAUUUAUUGACGCUGAUGGACGAAAGCGUGGGGAGCGAACAGGAUUAGAUACCCUGGUAGUCCACGCUGUAAACGAUGGAUACUAGCUGUUUGGAGCAAUCUGAGUGCUAAGCGAAAGUGAUAAGUAUCCC
rnacentral:rRNA from 1 species